CGGGGCGUAGCGCAGUUUGGUAGCGUAUCUGGUUUGGGACCAGAGGGUCGGGGGUUCAAAUCCCUCCGCCCCGACCA
rnacentral:tRNA from 1 species